rnacentral:rRNA from 1 species
AGAGUUUGGUCCUGGCUCAGAGCGAACGUUAGCGGCGGGCCUAACACAUGCAAGUCGAACGAGAAUGUAGGCUUUGGUCUACUAGUAAAGUGGCGGACGGGUGCGUAACACGUGGGUAAUCUACCUUCCGGCGGGGGACAACAGUCCGAAAGGAUUGCUAAUACCGCGUACGUCAGCGGCGCCUAUGGGCGCUGUUGGGAAAGAUGGCCUCUUUUUGGAAGCUGUCACCGGAAGAUGAGCCCGCGUCCCAUCAGCUAGUUGGUGAGGUAAUGGCUCACCAAGGCUAAGAUGGGUAGCUGGUCUGAGAGGAUGAUCAGCCAUAUUGGGAUUGCGACAUGGCCCAGACUCCUACGGGAGGCAGCAGUGGGGAAUAUUGGGUAAUGGGCGAAAGCCUGACCCAGCCACGCCGCGUGAGUGAUGAAGGCCUUUGGGUCGUAAAGCUCUGUGGGGAGGGACGAACAAAUCUGGGGUUAAUUACCCGGGUCCUGACGGUACCUCCUUAGCAAGCACCGGUUAACCCUGUGCCAGUAGUUGCGGUAAUACAGGGGGUGCAAACGUUGCUCGGAAUCAUUGGGCGUAAAGCGCACGUAGGCGGUCUGUUAUGUCGGAUGUGAAAGCCCUUGGUUUAACUAAGGAAGUGCAUCCGAAACUGGCAGGCUAGAGUACUAAAGAGGGUCGCGGAAUUCCCGGUGUAGAGGUGAAAUUUGUAGAUAUUGGGAGGAACACCGGUGGUGAAGGCGGCGACCUGGGUAGAUACUGACGCUGAGGUGCGAAAGCGUGGGGAGUAAACAGGAUUAGAUACCCUGGUAGUCCACGCCGUAAACGAUGAGUGCUAGAUGUUUCUGGUAUUGACCCCGGAGGCGUCGUAGCUAAUGCGUUAAGCACUCCGCCUGGGGAGUACGGCCGUAAGGCUAAAACUCAAAGGAAUUGACGG